CCUACGGGUGGCAGCAGUGGGGAAUAUUGCACAAUGGGGGAAACCCUGAUGCAGCGACGCCGCGUGAAGGAAGAAGUACUUCGGUAUGUAAACUUCUAUCAUCGGGGAAGAAAAUUACGGUUCCUGGCAAAGUAGCCCCCGCUAACUACGGUCCAGCAGCCGCGGGAAUACGUAGGGGGCAAGCGUUAUCCGGAUUUGCUGGGUGUAAAGGGAGCGUAGGCGGUGCAGCAAGUCAGAAGGGAAAGCCGGGGGCUUAACCCCGGGACUGCUUUUGAAACUGUGGGACUAGAUUGCAGGAGAGGUAGGUGGAAUGCCUAGUGUAGCGGUGAAAUGCGUAGAUAUUAGGAGGAACACCAGUGGCGAAGGCGGCUUACUGGACAGUAAAUGACGCUGAGGCUCGAAAGCGUGGGGAGCAAACAGGAUUAGAUACCCCAGUAGUC
rnacentral:rRNA from 1 species